GACGAACGCUGGCGGCGUGCUUAACACAUGCAAGUCGAACGGAAAGGCCCUGCUUUUGUGGGGUGCUCGAGUGGCGAACGGGUGAGUAACACGUGAGUAACCUGCCCUUGACUUUGGGAUAACUUCAGGAAACUGGGGCUAAUACCGGAUAGGAGCUCCUGCUGCAUGGUGGGGGUUGGAAAGUUUCGGCGGUUGGGGAUGGACUCGCGGCUUAUCAGCUUGUUGGUGGGGUAGUGGCUUACCAAGGCUUUGACGGGUAGCCGGCCUGAGAGGGUGACCGGCCAAAAUGGGACUGAGAUACGGCCCAGACUCCUACGGGAGGCAGCAGUGGGGAAUAUUGCAGAAUGGGCGGAAGCCUGAUGCAGCAACGCCGCGUGCGGGAUGACGGCCUUCGGGUUGUAAACCGCUUUCGCCUGUGACGAAGCGUGAGUGACGGUAAUGGGUAAAGAAGCACCGGCUAACUACGUG
rnacentral:rRNA from 1 species